rnacentral:rRNA from 1 species
AACGAACGCUGGCGGCAGGCUUAACACAUGCGAGUCGAACGCACCUUUCGGGGUGAGUGGCAGACGGGUGAGUAACGCGUGGGAAUCUACCCUUCUCUACGGGAUAGCUCCGGGAAACUGGAAUUAAUACCGUAUACGUCCUGAGGGAGAAAGAUUUAUCGGGGAAGGAUGAGCCCGCGUUGGAUUAGCUAGUUGGUGGGGUAAAGGCCUACCAAGGCGACGAUCCAUAGCUGGUCUAAGAGGAUGAUCAGCCACAUUGGGACUGAGACACGGCCCAAACUCCUACGGGAGGCAGCAGUGGGGAAUAUUGGACAAUGGGCGCAAGCCUGAUCCAGCCAUGCCGCGUGAGUGAUGAAGGCCCUAGGGUUGUAAAGCUCUUUCAGUGGGGACGAUAAUGACGGUACCCACAGAAGAAGCCCCGGCUAACUUCGUG